AGAGUUUGAUUAUGGCUACAGAACGAACGCUGGCGGCGUGGAUUAGGCAUGCAAGUCGAACGGGACUUUAUGUUGUAGCAAUACGUUUAUAAAGUCUAGUGGCGUAAGGGUGAGUAACACGUGGGUAAUGUACCCGAUAGUUUGGGAUAACGUUCCGAAAGGGACGCUAAUACCGGAUGUGAUGUUAGACCGCCGGGUUUAACAAGAAAGGUGGGGACCGCAAGGCCUGCCGCUAACGGAACGGCCCGCGACCUAUUAGCUAGUUGGUGGGGUAAAGGCCUACCAAGGCGAGGAUGGGUAGCCGAACCGAGAGGUUGACCGGCCACACUGGGACUGAGACACUGCCCAGACUUCUACGGAAGGCUGCAGUCGAGAAUCAUUCACAAUGGACGAAAGUCUGAUGAUGCGACGCCGCGUGCGCGAUGAAAAGGUCUUCGGACUGUAAAGCGCUUUGAACAGGGAAGAAUGCCGCGUAUUUAAUAGAUAACGCGGAGGGACAGUACCUGACAAACAAGCCCCGGCUAAUUUCGUGCCAGCAGCUGC
rnacentral:rRNA from 1 species